GAUGAACGCUGGCGGCGUGCCUAAUACAUGCCAGUCGAGCGAACAGACGAGGAGCUUGCUCCUCUGACGUUAGCGGCGGACGGGUGAGUAACACGUGGAUAACCUACCUAUAAGACUGGGAUAACUUCGGGAAACCGGAGCUAAUACCGGAUAAUAUUUUGAACCGCAUGGUUCAAUAGUGAAAGACGGUCUUGCUGUCACUUAUAGAUGGAUCCGCGCCGCAUUAGCUAGUUGGUAAGGUAACGGCUUACCAAGGCAACGAUGCGUAGCUGACCUGAGAGGGUGAUCGGCCACACUGGAACUGAGACACGGUCCAGACUCCUACGGGAGGCAGCAGUAGGGAAUCUUCCGCAAUGGGCGAAAGCCUGACGGAGCAACGCCGCGUGAGUGAUGAAGGUCUUCGGAUCGUAAAACUCUGUUAUUAGGGAAGAACAAAUGUGUAAGUAACUAUGCACGUCUUGACGGUACCUAAUCAGAAAGCCACGGCUAACUACGUG
rnacentral:rRNA from 1 species